rnacentral:rRNA from 1 species
GUGUCAGCAGCCGCGGUAAUACAGAGACUGCAAGCGUUACUCGGAUUCACUGGGCGUAAAGGGAGCGCAGGCGGAAUCGUGUGUCGGAUGUGAAACCCGGGGGCUCAACUCCCGGACUGCGUCUGAAACUGCGAUUCUAGGGACUCGGAGGGGCUAGUGGAAUUCUUGGUGGAGCAGUGAAAUGCGUAGAUAUCAAGAGGAACACCAACGGCGAAGGCAGCUAGCUGGACGAGAUCCGACGCUCAGGCUCGAAAGUAUGGGGAGCAAAAAGGAUUAGAUACCCUUGUAGUCC